rnacentral:lncRNA from 1 species
UAAAGGAAGAAAUCAAGGGAAAAAUCUCCUCAUACGAGAAGUCACCCAAAAAAUCUAUUUUAAUUGAAGAUAAAUCAUUCAAUUAUGUCUCCCGAAGAAUCUCUGCCCAUGAUGGAAACAAGCUCCAACUUAUUGAAGAAUAUCUGGCCGAAGUCCGGGAUAAGUUGCUUCAUACCGUUGAACAAACCUCGGACACAUCCAUGCAUAGCACAGAACGGAACACUGACGAUAUCACAGAUUCCCAGCCGCUAGAAACCCUGAACGAAGAAGAAGUAUUAGCUAAUGCAGAAGAAUCACAAUUAGAACUACUAGACAUAUGGGCUAACAAUAAAAAUUGUUUGAUUUCUGACAGGCCCCUUGUUCGGGUGAAAGAUUUACCAUACAGUCAGAAACUUCGAAAUUUCUUCAUUAUUUCGGUUGGUGCUUCGGUUCGGUUUUCCGACUUUAGCUUAAUCCGAUAUUAUUGCUUGGUCUGGU